GACGAACGCUGGCGGCGUGCUUAACACAUGCAAGUCGAACGGAAAGGCCCUGCUUUUGUGGGGUGCUCGAGUGGCGAACGGGUGAGUAACACGUGAGUAACCUGCCCUUGACUUUGGGAUAACUUCAGGAAACUGGGGCUAAUACCGGAUAGGAGCUCCUGCUGCAUGGUGGGGGUUGGAAAGUUUCGGCGGUUGGGGAUGGACUCGCGGCUUAUCAGCUUGUUGGUGGGGUAGUGGCUUACCAAGGCUUUGACGGGUAGCCGGCCUGAGAGGGUGACCGGCCACAUUGGGACUGAGAUACGGCCCAGACUCCUACGGGAGGCAGCAGUGGGGAAUAUUGCACAAUGGGCGGAAGCCUGAUGCAGCAACGCCGCGUGCGGGAUGACGGCCUUCGGGUUGUAAACCGCUUUCGCCUGUGACGAAGCGUGAGUGACGGUAAUGGGUAAAGAAGCACCGGCUAACUACGUGCCAGCAGCCGCGGUGAUACGUAGGGUGCGAGCGUUGUCCGGAUUUAUUGGGCGUAAAGGGCUCGUAGGUGGUUGAUCGCGUCGGAAGUGUAAUCUUGGGGCUUAACCCUGAGCGUGCUUUCGAUACGGGUUGACUUGAGGAAGGUAGGGGAGAAUGGAAUUCCUGGUGGAGCGGUGGAAUGCGCAGAUAUCAGGAGGAACACCAGUGGCGAAGGCGGUUCUCUGGGCCUUUCCUGACGCUGAGGAGCGAAAGCGUGGGGAGCGAACAGGCUUAGAUACCCUGGUAGUCCACGCUGUAAACGGUGGGUACUAGGUGUGGGGUCCAUUCCACGGGUUCCGUGCCGUAGCUAACGCUUUAAGUACCCCGCCUGGGGAGUACGGCCGCAAGGCUAAAACUCAAAGGAAUUGACGGGGCCCCGCACAAGCGGCGGAGCAUGCGGAUUAAUUCGAUGCAACGCGUAGAACCUUACCUGGGUUUGACAUGGAUCGGGAGCGCUCAGAGAUGGGUGUGCCUCUUUUGGGGUCGGUUCACAGGUGGUGCAUGGCUGUCGCCAGCUCGUGUCGUGAGAUGUUGGGUUAAGUCCCGCAACGAGCGCAACCCUUGUUCACUGUUGCCAGCACGUUAUGGUGGGGACUCAGUGGAGACCGCCGGGGUCAACUCGGAGGAAGGUGGGGAUGACGUCAAGUCAUCAUGCCCCUUAUGUCCAGGGCUUCACGCAUGCUACAAUGGCUGGUACAGAGAGUGGCGAGCCUGUGAGGGUGAGCGAAUCUCGGAAAGCCGGUCUCAGUUCGGAUUGGGGUCUGCAACUCGACCUCAUGAAGUCGGAGUCGCUAGUAAUCGCAGAUCAGCAACGCUGCGGUGAAUACGUUCCCGGG
rnacentral:rRNA from 1 species